UCAAGCUACAAAGGGCGCAUGGUGAAUGCCUUGGCAUCAGGAGCCGAUGAAGGACGUGAUAAGCUGCGAUAAGCUUCGGGUAGGCGCACAUAGCCUGAGAUCCGAAGAUCUCCGAAUGAGGAAACUCACAUGGGAAACCCCAUGUAUCAUUAAGUGAAUACAUAGCUUAAUGAAGGUAACCCAGGGAACUGAAACAUCUAAGUACCUGGAGGAAGAGAAAGAAAAAUCGAUUUUCUUAGUAGCGGCGAGCGAAAGGGAAAGAGCCCAAACCGGAAACUUGUUUCCGGGGUUGUGGACAUAACAUAAAAGUGGAGGCUAUUGUAACUGAAGAGAACUGGAAAGUUCCACCGUAGAAGGUAAUAGUCCUGUAAGUGAAACGAGAAGACCACGAGUUAUGAUCCAGAGUACCACGAGACACGUGAAACCUUGUGGGAAGCAGGGAGGACCACCUCCCAAGGCUAAAUACUACCUGAUGACCGAUAGUGAAGCAGUACCGUGAGGGAAAGGUGAAAAGAACCCCGGGAGGGGAGUGAAAUAGAACCUGAAACCGUGUGCCUACAACCGCUCAGAGCCCCUUAUGAGGGUGAUGAGGUGCUUUUUGUAGAACGAGCCAACGAGUUACGGUAUGUAGCAAGGUUAAGUACUUAAGGUACGGAGCCGAAGGGAAACUGAGUCUGAAUAGGGCGACUAGUUGCAUGCCGUAGACCCGAAACCGGGUGACCUAUCUAUGGCCAGGUUGAAGCGAGGGUAAAACCUCGUGGAGGACCGAACCACGUUGCUGUUGAAAAAGCAUGGGAUGAGCUGUGGAUAGCGGAGAAAUUCCAAUCGAACCCGGAGAUAGCUGGUUCUCUCCGAAAUAGCUUUAGGGCUAGCGUCGAGUAUGAGUAGUGGAGGUAGAGCACUGAAUGGGCUAGGGGGCAUAGCGCUUACCGAACCUUAUCAAACUCCGAAUGCCACAUACUUUGAGCUCGGCAGUCAGACUACGAAUGAUAAGAUCCGUGGUCAAAAGGGAAACAGCCCAGAUCGUCAGCUAAGGUCCCAAAGUGUAAGUUAAGUGGGAAAGGAUGUGAGAUUUCUAAGACAACUAGGAUGUUGGCUUAGAAGCAGCCAUUCAUUAAAAGAGUGCGUAAUAGCUCACUAGUCGAGAGAUCUUGCGCCGAAAAUGUAACGGGGCUAAACUUACCACCGAAGCUACGGGCUUGAACUUAGUUCAAGCGGUAGGAGAGCGUCGUAACCGGGCUGAAGUCGUACCGUAAGGAGCGGUGGACUGGUUACGAGUGAGAAUGUUGGCAUCAGUAGCGAGAUGUGGGUGAGAAUCCCACAGGCCGAAAACCUAAGGUUUCCUCAGGAAGGUUCGUCCGCUGAGGGUUAGUCGGGACCUAAGCCGAGGCCGAAAGGCGUAGGUGAUGGACAACUGGUUGAUAUUCCAGUACCACUACCAUCGUUAUUAUCGAUGGCGUGACGCAGGAGGAUAGUGUGUGCUAGCUAUUGGAUGCUAGUCUAAGCGUUUAGGCAGUGAGAGUAGGCAAAUCCGCUCUCAUAAUGCUGAGGCGUGAUGGGGAAGGUUCUACGGAACCGAAGUACAUGAUUCCACGCUGCCAAGAAAAGCGUCUAGAGAGAGAAGUAGUGCCCGUACCGCAAACCGACACAGGUAGGUGAGGAGAGAAUCCUAAGGCCGGCGGAAGAAUUACAGUUAAGGAACUCGGCAAAUUGACCCCGUAAGUUCGCGAGAAGGGGUGCCUACGAGAGUAGGCCGCAGAGAAUAGGCCCAAGCAACUGUUUAGCAAAAACACAGGUCUCUGCUAAAGCGUAAGCUGAUGUAUAGGGGCUGACGCCUGCCCGGUGCUGGAAGGUUAAGGGGAACACUUAGCGUAAGCGAAGGUGUGAACUUAAGCCCCAGUAAACGGCGGCCGUAACUAUAACGGUCCUAAGGUAGCGAAAUUCCUUGUCAGGUAAGUUCUGACCCGCACGAAUGGCGUAAUGACUUGGGCACUGUCUCAACUGUAAAUCCGGCGAAGUUGUAGUGCGAGUGAAGAUGCUCGCUACCCGCGAUUGGACGGAAAGACCCCGUAGAGCUUUACUGUAGCUUAGCAUUGAGUUUUGGUAUUGUCUGUACAGGAUAGGUGGGAGACUAGGAAACCAGGGCGUCAGCCUUGGUGGAGUCAACCUUGGGAUACCACCCUGACAGUACUGAAAUUCUAACUGGCGGCCAUGAAUCUGGUCACAGGACAUUGUUAGGUGGGCAGUUUGACUGGGGCGGUCGCCUCCUAAAAAGUAACGGAGGCGCCCAAAGGUUCCCUCAGAACGGUCGGAAAUCGUUCGAAGAGUGCAAAGGCAGAAGGGAGCCUGACUGCGACACCCACAAGUGGAGCAGGGACGAAAGUCGGGCUUAGUGAUCCGGUGGUACCUCGUGGGAGGGCCAUCGCUCAACGGAUAAAAGCUACCUCGGGGAUAACAGGCUGAUCUCCCCCAAGAGUCCACAUCGACGGGGAGGUUUGGCACCUCGAUGUCGGCUCGUCGCAUCCUGGGGCUGAAGUAGGUCCCAAGGGUUGGGCUGUUCGCCCAUUAAAGCGGCACGCGAGCUGGGUUCAGAACGUCGUGAGACAGUUCGGUCCCUAUCCGUCGCGGGCGUAGGAAAUUUGAGAGGAGCUGUCCUUAGUACGAGAGGACCGGGAUGGACUGACCUCUGGUGUACCAGUUGUUCCGCCAGGAGCACAGCUGGGUAGCUAAGUCGGGAAUGGAUAAACGCUGAAAGCAUCUAAGCGUGAAGCCAACCUCAAGAUGAGAUUUCCCAUAGCGUAAGCUAGUAAGAUCCCUUGAAGAACACAAGGUUGAUAGGUCGGGGGUGUAAGCAUGGUAACAUGUUCAGCUGACCGAUACUAAUAGAUCGAGGGCUUGACCAA
rnacentral:rRNA from 1 species